rnacentral:rRNA from 1 species
AGUACCGUGAGGGAAAGGUGAAAAGAACCGCGGGAGCGGAGUGAAAGAGAACCUGAAACCGUAUGCCUACAAGAAGUCAGAGCCCGUUAAGGGGUGAUGGCGUGCCUUUUGUAGAAUGAACCGGCGAGUUGCGACAGACUGCGAGGUUAAGGAGGAAAGACCGGAGCCGAAGCGAAAGCGAGUCUUAAGAGGGCGAAAGUAGGAUGUUGCAGACCCGAAACCGGGUGAUCUAGCCAUGAGCAGGUUGAAGUUGAGGUGAAACUCAAUGGAGGACCGAACCGACUACCGUUGAAAAGUUAGCGGAUGACUUGUGGCUAGGGGAGAAAUUCCAAUCGAACCCGGAGAUAGCUGGUUCUCCCCGAAAUAGCUUUAGGGCUAGCGUCGCAGCGAGAGAGCCGUGAAGGUAGAGCACUGAAUAUGCGAUGGCCGCAUCCCGCGGUACUGAGCAUAAUCAAACUCCGAAUGUCACGGUGUCAUCUGCGGCAGUCAGACGGCGAGUGAUAAGGUCCGUCGUCAAAAGGGAAACAGCCCAGACCAUCAGCUAAGGUCCCAAAGUGCAUGCUAAGUGGAAAAGGAAGUGGAGACGUGCAGACAACUAGGAGGUUGGCUCAGAAGCAGCCAUCCUUCAAAGAGUGCGUAACAGCUCACUAGUCGAAUGACUCUGCGCCGAUAAUUUACCGGGGCUAAGCAUGACACCGAAGCUAUGGACAGGAAUGUGGUAGGGGAGCAUUGCAUGCAGCGGAGAAGCAUGACCGGAAGGGCAUGUGGAGCGCAUGGAAGAGAGAAUGCCGGCGUGAGUAGCGGCACGUGGGUGAGAAUCCCACGCACCGAUGGCCCAAGGUCUCCAGAGGAAGGCUCGUCCUCUCUGGGAUAGUCGGGACCUAAGGCGAGGCCGAAAGGCGUAGCCGAUGGACGACGGGUGGAUAUUCCCGUACCCGAUGUGUGGCGAUGGAGUGACGGAGAAGGCUCAGGCAACCAGCUGCUGGAAUAGCUGGGGCAAGCGAGAUACCUGCGCACCAGGGAAAUCCGGUGCGCAUAAGGGGAAGGCGCGAUGCAUACGGAAAGCUUCGGCAAGUACGGAAAAGCUGAGAGCAGGCUUCCAGGAAAAGCUUCUAGCACAACACACAUCGGCCCGUACCGAAAAUGGACACACAUGGGCAAGGAGAGAAUCCUGAGGUGAGCGAGAGAACUAUAGCUAAGGAACUCUGCAAAAUGACCCCGUAACCUAGGGAGAAGGGGUGCUCCAGAAAUGGAGCCGCAGUAAAACGGCCCAAGCGACUGUUUACCAAAAACACAGCUCUCUGCGAAGGCGCAAGCCGAAGUAUAGGGGGUGACGCCUGCCCGGUGCUGGAAGGUCAAGGGGAGCUGUCAGCGCAAGCGAAGCAGCGAGCCGAAGCCCCAGUAAACGGCGGCCGUAACUAUAACGGUCCUAAGGUAGCGAAAUUCCUUGUCGGGCAAGUUCCGACCCGCACGAAAGGCGUAACGAUUUGGGCGCUGUCUCAGCUGUAGACUCGGUGAAGUCUUAGUACCUGUGAAGAUGCAGGUUGCCCGCGACUAGACGGAAAGACCCCAUGGAGCUUCACUGCAGGUUGACAUUGGGCUUGGAUGCAUGAUGUACAGGAUAGGUGGGAGGCUGUGAGCCGUGCGCGCCAGCGUACGGGGAGCCGCUGUUGGGAUACCACCCUUCAUGCAUCUAGGUCCUAACCGGAGGCAACGGGCCACGGGACAGUGUCAGUCGGGCAGUUUGACUGGGGCGGUCGCCUCCCAAAGAGUAACGGAGGCGCCCAAAGAUACCCUCAGCAUGGAUGGAAACCAUGCAUAGAGUGCAAAGGCAUAAGGGUGUCUGACUGCGAGACAUACAGGUCGAGCAGGGACGAAAGUCGGGCUUAGUGAUCCGGCGGAUCCGAAUGGAAGGGCCGUCGCUCAACGGAUAAAAGCUACCCUGGGGAUAACAGGCUGAUCUCCCCCAA